rnacentral:rRNA from 1 species
CGGCAACAGCUCAAAUUUGAAAUCUGGCCCUCGCGGUCCGAGUUGUAAUUUGUAGAGGAUGCUUUUGGUGCGGUGCCUUCCGAGUUCCCUGGAACGGGACGCCAUAGAGGGUGAGAGCCCCGUCUGGUUGGACACCAAUCCUCUGUAAAGCUCCUUCGACGAGUCGAGUAGUUUGGGAAUGCUGCUCUAAAUGGGAGGUAAAUGUCUUCUAAAGCUAAAUACCGGCCAGAGACCGAUAGCGCACAAGUAGAGUGAUCGAAAGAUGAAAAGCACUUUGAAAAGAGGGUUAAAUAGUACGUGAAAUUGUUGAAAGGGAAGCGUUUGUGACCAGACUUGGGCCCGGUUAAUCAUCCAGCGUUCUCGCUGGUGCACUUUGCCGGCCCAGGCCAGCAUCAGUUCGCCGCGGGGGACAAAAGCUGCGGGAAUGUGGCUCUUCGGAGUGUUAUAGCCCGCUGCACAAUACCCUGUGGCGGACUGAGGUUCGCGCAUCUGCAAGGAUGCUGGCGUAAUGGUCAUCAACGACCCGUCUUGAAACACGGACCAAGGAGUCGUCUUCGUAUGCGAGUGUUCGGGUGUCAAACCCCUACGCGUAAUGAAAGUGAACGGAGGUGGGAGCCUCGGCGCACCAUCGACCGAUCCUGAAGUUUACGGAUGGAUUUGAGUAAGAGCAUACGGGGCCGGACCCGAAAGAAGGUGAACUAUGCCUGUAUAGGGUGAAGCCAGAGGAAACUCUGGUGGAGGCUCGCAGCGGUUCUGACGUGCAAAUCGAUCGUCAAAUAUGGGCAUGGGGGCGAA